CCUCCUCCCGUCCGGCGGACUUUCUUUGCGUUGACGAACUUGACAGCAGAGGCCGACAGCGGUCGCCCCUGCCUUACCGCACCCGGCAACAUUCUACUGAGCAGGAUAGACGACUCCGCAGGCGAGCCGAUCACCGGCGUCCCCGGACGGCUGAGACUCAUAAUCGUCUGCCCCGGCAUGGACAACGAGAGCCGUGCCAUCAUCGUCGUCCAGAGGUGCGUCACCACCGGUCAAGGAAACGUGCGGAUUGAUGUGAUCGAACUUGGCGGAGCCAUUCUGAGCGGCGAAGUUGGGCAUGUCGCCGGCGUGGAUCCCGCCUUCAACCAUGUAGCCAUGCUCCAUGUUGGUCGGAUUGUA
rnacentral:misc_RNA from 1 species